AUUGAACGCUGGCGGCAGGCCUAACACAUGCAAGUCGAGCGAGCGGCGGACGGGUGAGUAAUGUAUGGGGACUGCCCGAUAGAGGGGGAUAACUACUGGAAACGGUGGCUAAUACCGCAUACUAUCGGAUAACCCAUAUGGGAUUAGCUAGUAGGGGGGGUAAAGGCUCACCUAGGCGACGAUAUCUAGCUGGUCUGAGCGGAGGAUCAGCCACACUGGGACUAGGACACGGCCCGGAAUCCACCGGAGGCAGGAGUGGGAAAUAUUGACCAAGGGGCGCAAGCCUGCUGCAGCCAUGCCGCUUGUAUGAAAAGGGCCUUAGGGUUGAAAAGUACUUUAAGCGGGGAGGCGUUACCCGCAGAAGAAGCACCGGCUAACUCCGUGCCAGCAGCCGCGGUAAUUC
rnacentral:rRNA from 1 species